rnacentral:rRNA from 1 species
GAUGAACGCUGGCGGCGUGCCUAAUACAUGCAAGUCGAGCGAACAGAUAAGGAGCUUGCUCCUUUGACGUUAGCGGCGGACGGGUGAGUAACACGUGUGUAACCUCCCUAUAAGACUGGAAUAACUCCGGGAAACCGGGUCUAAUGCAGUAUAACCUGUUGAACCGCAUGGUUCUACGGAGAAAGGCGGCUUUGCUGUCACUUCUCGCUGGUCCCGGGCCGUAUUAGCUAGUUGGUGAGGUAAUGGCUCACCAAGGGAACCAUACGUAGCCGACGUGAGAGGGUGAUCGGCCGCACUGGAACGGAGACACGGUCCAGACGCCUACGGGAGGCAGCAGUAGGGAAUCUGACGCAAUGGGCGAGAGCCUGACGGAGCAACGGGGCGUGAGAGAUGAAGGUCUUCGGAUCGUAAAACUCUGUUAUUAGUGAAGAACAAAUGCGUAAGUAACUGUGCGCGUAUUGACGGUACCUAAUCAGAAAGCAACGGCUAACUACGUG